rnacentral:rRNA from 1 species
UACGAGGGGUGCAAGCGUUAUUCGGAAUUACUGGGCGUAAAGGGUGUGUAGGUGGUGUAUUAAGUCUGUUGUUAAAUCUCCUGGCUCAACCGGGAAAUCGUGAUGGAAACUAAUACGCUAGAGUGUGAGAGAGAGAAGUGGAAUUCUCGGAGUAGCGGUAAAAUGCGUAGAUAUCGAGAGGAACACCGAUGGCGAAAGCAGCUUCUUGGCUCACUACUGACACUGAAACACGAAAGCGUGGGGAGCAAACAGG